rnacentral:rRNA from 1 species
GACGUAGGGCGCGAGCGUUGUCCGGAUUUAUUGGGCGUAAAGAGCUCGUAGGCGGCUUGUCGCGUCGAAUGUGAAAUCCCGAGGCUCAACUUCGGGCUUGCAUUCGAUACGGGCAGGCUAGAGUUCGGUAGGGGAGACUGGAAUUCCUGGUGUAGCGGUGAAAUGCGCAGAUAUCAGGAGGAACACCGAUGGCGAAGGCAGGUCUCUGGGCUGACACUGACGCUCAUGCACGAAAGCGUGGGGAGCAAACAGG